GGAUGGAUGCUGAAAUUGGUAGACAGCUUGGCUCCUACAAGAGUUGAGACCGGCAAAGCGCGCGCGGUACCCGGCUGGGGGUUCAAAUCCCUCUCCA
rnacentral:tRNA from 1 species